rnacentral:rRNA from 1 species
GAGGAAUAUUGGUCAAUGGACGGAAGUCUGAACCAGCCAAGUAGCGUGCAGGAUGACGGCCCUAUGGGUUGUAAACUGCUUUUGUAUGGGGAUAAAGUUAGGGACGUGUCUCUAUUUGCAGGUACCAUACGAAUAAGGACCGGCUAAUUCCGUGCCAGCAGCCGCGGUAAUACGGAAGGUCCAGGCGUUAUCCGGAUUUAUUGGGUUUAAAGGGAGCGUAGGCUGGAGAUUAAGUGUGUUGUGAAGUGUAGACGCUCAACGUCUGAAUUGCAGCGCAUACUGGUUUCCUUGAGUACGCACAACGUUGGCGGAAUUCGUCGUGUAGCGGUGAAAUGCUUAGAUAUGACGAAGAACUCCGAUUGCGAAGGCAGCUGACGGGAGCGCAACUGACGCUUAAGCUCGAAGGUGCGGGUAUCAAACAGGAUUAGAUACCCUGGUAGUCCGCACAGUAAACGAUGGAUGCCCGCUGUUGGUACCUGGUAUCAGCGGCUAAGCGAAAGCAUUAAGCAUCCCACCUGGGGAGUACGCCGGCAACGGUG